CCCUUAGAUGUUCUGGGCUGCACGCGCGCUACACUGACACACGCAACGAGUCUCCUGCCCUGACAGGGUCGGGUAAUCAUUUGAGUGUGUGUCGUGACGGGGAUAGAGUAUUGCAAUUAUUGCUCUUGAACGAGGAAUUCCUAGUAAGCACAAGUCAGCAGCUUGUGCUGAUUACGUCCCUGCCCUUUGUACACACCGCCCGUCGCUCCUACCGAGGGGGUGAUCCGGUGAAUGAUUCGGACUCUGGUGCUUCUAGCUGCUAGAUGCGCCGGAGGAAGUUUUGUGAACCUUAUCACUUGGAGGAAGGAGAAGUCGUAACA
rnacentral:rRNA from 1 species